rnacentral:rRNA from 1 species
UACGAGGGAUGCAAGCGUUAUCCGGAAUUAUUGGGCGUAAAGCGUCCGCAGGUGGCUCUGUAAGUCUGUCGUUAAAGAAUGGGGCUCAACCCCAUACAGGCGAUGGAAACUACAAGGCUAGAGUUUGGUAGGGGUCACGGGAAUUCCUAGUGUAGCGGUGAAAUGCGUAGAUAUUAGGAGGAAUACCGGUGGCGAAGGCGACUUUCUGGCCAUAAACUGACGCUGAGGUACGAAAGCGUGGGUAGCAAACAGG